AGCAGCCGCGGUAAUUCCAGCUCCAAUAGCGUAUAUUAAAGUUGUUGCAGUUAAAAAGCUCGUAGUUGAAUUUCAGGCCAGGCUGGACGGUCCGCCCUCUGGGUGAGCACUGUCUGUGGUCGGGUCCUACCUUCUGGCGAAGCGGCAUGGCCUUAACCGGCCGUGGCGGGGGAACCAGGACUUUUACUGUGAAAAAAUUGAGUGUUCAAAGCAGGCACGCGCUUGAAUACAUUAGCAUGGAAUAAUGGAAUAGGACAAUGGUUCUAUUUGUUGGUUUCUAGGACCGUUGUAAUGAUUAAUAGGGAUAGUUGGGGGCAUUAGUAUUCAAUUGUCAGAGGUGAAAUUCUUGGAUUUAUUGAAGACUAACUACUGCGAAAGCACUUGCCAAGGAUGUUUUCAUUAAUCAAGAACGAAGUUAGGGAUCGAAGACGAUCAGUAUACCGUCGUAGUCUUAACCAUAAACUAUAGCCGACUAGGGAUCGGAUGAUGUUAAUUUUUANGUACUNAUUCGGCGUACCG
rnacentral:rRNA from 1 species